UACGGAGGGUGCAAGCGUUGUCCGGAAUCACUGGGCGUAAAGGGCGCGUAGGCGGCUCAUGAAGGCUGUGGUGAAAGCCCGAGGCUCAACUUCGGGUCGGCCAUGGAUACUCCUGGGCUUGAGCACUGUAGAGGCAGGUGGAAUUCCGGGUGUAGCGGUGGAAUGCGUAGAGAUCCGGAAGAACACCGGUGGCGAAGGCGGCCUGCUGGGCAGUAGCUGACGCUGAGGCGCGACAGCGUGGGGAGCAAACAGG
rnacentral:rRNA from 1 species